GGAAAUCCUGGUGGUGGCCAUUCAUUGAGUCUGAACCUGAACCUGAACCUACGCCUUCUCCCACUUUUAAGGAACCCUGGAGGAAAAUAUCUUGGGGAGAGAAACAGAGGGAUCUUCAGUAUGUGCAGGAGUACAGGCCUGAAAACGGAGACAUUAAACAUCUGCGAAUUCUUCUGUACGGGC